UUUAAUUUUCUUUGAAAAAUAAUUUUACUUAAAUUGUACAUCACAAACACUAACAUUGACAACCUAAAAUAAAACAAACAGUACGCCUAACGAAAUCACUUGACAAACAAAACAUGAAGAUACAUUACAACACUAAACACGUAAUGCCAUUGCUUAGUUAGUACAACCUAGUAAUCUCUGCUUCAUCUUCUGGAACUUUUUUCCCAAUUUUUUGUUCUCUUCUUCCACCUCCUUGAUCUUCGCCUUUAAAUCUUCAGUUUCAUGCCUGGAUUGGCGCUCUAUUUGCCACUGGCUCGUACACACAUCUUGAAGAUGAUAUAUCUUGUCCUUGUAGUAUUUUUGUUCACAUGGUUCAUCAACCCAUACCUUAAAAUUGCAUAUAGGUACGUUGGGCUGCCUAUAAAAUGUGUUCAUACAACCCCAAUAGCGGCACACAG
rnacentral:lncRNA from 1 species